rnacentral:rRNA from 1 species
AUAUCUCGGCUCUCGCAUCGAUGAAGAACGUAGCGAAAUGCGAUACUUAGUGUGAAUUGCAGAAUCCCGUGAACUGUCGAGUCUUUGAACGCAAGUUGUGCCCCAAUCCAUUAGGCCGAGGGCACGUUUGCCUGGGUGUCA